rnacentral:lncRNA from 1 species
ACAAUGUUCUCUUGAUUCUGCUUACUUCACUUAGCAUCAAGAACUUACAAUCUUAUUGGGAUGAGAGAUGAACUUCUAUAAAACAACGAGUGAUCACGAUGAACAUUUACUGCUGGACCGUCUUCCUUGCUUAUGGAAAAUUGAGCUCUUUUGACAAGGGAGAAACACCCUUUGGAGGGGCUGUUAAUUACUUCAUGGUUUUCAUGCUGAGAUAGAAAUGAUGAGAUUUGGC